CUCUGUCCAGCCAGAGUUGGUGAGCUCCCAUUAGCUCUGACAGGUCCUGGAGAAUGACAGUGAACUCCUGAGAAUUCCAUCAAGAGCUUGCAGCAAUUGUGGCUUCUAUACAUAAUGCUGUGUUCCUGUAGACAGUUGACCGAGAUAACUUCAUACACAUAGUAUG